rnacentral:rRNA from 1 species
UGGGGAAUCUUGGACAAUGGGGGAAACCCUGAUCCAGCCAUGCCGCGUGAGUGAUGAAGGCCCUAGGGUUGUAAAACUCUUUCGGCGGGGACGAUAAUGACGGUACCCGCAGAAGAAGCUCCGGCUAACUUCGUGCCAGCAGCCGCGGUAAUACGAAGGGGGCUAGCGUUGUUCGGAAUUACUGGGCGUAAAGCGCGCGCAGGCGGUCCUUUAAGUCAGGGGUGAAAGCCCAGAGCUCAACUCUGGAACUGCCUUUGAAACUAGAGGACUUGGGUACGGGAGAGGUGAGUGGAAUUCCGAGUGUAGAGGUGAAAUUCGUAGAUAUUCGGAAGAACACCAGUGGCGAAGGCGGCUCACUGGCCCGUUACCGACGCUCAGGCGCGACAGCGUGGGGAGCAAACAGGAUUAGAUACCCCCGUAGUCC